AAGUCGUAACAAGGUUUCCGUAGGUGAACCUGCGGAAGGAUCAUCAAUAGUUCCAAUAAAUACCUUCUUGUGCACUGUUUCUGGUACGGAUGUUUAUAUGGUGGUUUGCUUGUUUUUGUAACGGGCGAUUGCCGUGUGAAUGUCUAUAUGUUAUCAUUACAAACUCUGUCUAAAUAUUAUAUAUAAGUCUAAGUAAUUUGCAAUGUUGUAUGGUCUGUUAGCAAUAACGGAUUGAAUACGUACAUCUGCCAUUAUUAAUUUAAUGUCAAUACAACUUGCAGCGAUGGAUCUCUAGGCUCUG
rnacentral:misc_RNA from 1 species